GAAAAGAAUUAAAUUUUGAGUAUUAUUUGUAAAUAAAGAAUUUUUAUUCCAAAAAUGGAAUUUUUGGGUCAACUCUUCCAUAUAACCCAAAUUUGGGGAAAAAUGGAAGGAUGGACAAAUUGGGAGAAGACUUUGGUUGGGAAGAAAUUUUGGAGAUUUUGGGAAGGAAUGAUGCUGGAUCUGGCAGGUGGGCUCUCCUUCAGCCAUUCCAGGAUUGCGUAUUAAGAGUCAAGGGCUAUCAUAAGGUACUAUGCUGAAAAAUUUGAAGGACAGGGAACUUGUCUGCUGGGAAAGACUUUGGAGGAGAGAGCAUUUAUAGAUGUCACGCCAUUCAUGGCACUAACAUUGGAUUCAUGGGUGGGCCCAUUUCUCAUGUUGGUAUUAGCACUUCUCACAAGCCAUUGACAACAGAGGAUUACUGAGUUGCAUCAUCAACUUAGGACUUCUAGAUGCAAGAGAUGUCUAUAUGAUUCCAUGCGAUCUUGUUUUCUUUGUAAGUUUUGGUGCUUACCUGAAUAUCAAAGGUUAUUUUCCCUAUAUAAAUGACUGUGCUAUAAAAUGAGAGAAAAUUGCAUCUCUUCUCCUCACUAAUGUUAUGUUUAUCAGAUUAGCUUGAUACAUGGAAUUCCUAAUGAAUAGUAAGAUGAAAUGUUUGUAUC